GGGGAAUAUUGGGCAAUGGGGGAAACCCUGACCCAGCAACGCCGCGUGAAGGAAGAAGGCUUUCGGGUUGUAAACUUCUUUUACCAGGGACGAAGGACGUGACGGUACCUGGAGAAAAAGCCACGGCUAACUACGUGCCAGCAGCCGCGGUAAUACGUAGGUGGCAAGCGUUGUCCGGAUUUACUGGGUGUAAAGGGCGUGUAGGCGGAGAAGCAAGUCAGAAGUGAAAUCCAUGGGCUUAACCCAUGAACUGCUUUUGAAACUGUUUCCCUUGAGUAUCGGAGAGGCAGGCGGAAUUCCUAGUGUAGCGGUGAAAUGCGUAGAUAUUAGGAGGAACACCAGUGGCGAAGGCGGCCUGCUGGACGACAACUGACGCUGAGGCGCGAAAGCGUGGGGAGCAAAC
rnacentral:rRNA from 1 species